UCCGGUUGAUCCUGCCAGAGGCCACUGCUAUCGGAGUUCGAUUAAGCCAUGCGAGUCGAGAGGGUUCGGCCCUCGGCGUACUGCUCAGUAACACGUGGAUAACCUACCCUAAGGUGGGAGAUAACCCCGGGAAACUGGGGAUAAUACCCCAUAGUCUAUGGAAGCUGGAAUGCUCUAUAGUUGAAAGAUUUAUCGCCUUAGGAUGGGUCUGCGGCCGAUUAGGUAGUUGUUGGGGUAACGGCCCAACAAGCCUUUGAUCGGUACGGGUUGUGGGAGCAAGAGCCCGGAGAUGGAUUCUGAGACACGAAUCCAGGCCCUACGGGGCGCAGCAGGCGCGAAAACUUUACAAUGCGGGAAACCGUGAUAAGGGAACUCCGAGUGCCCGUAAACGCGGGCUGUCCAUCUGCUUAAAAAACAGGUGAAGAAAGGGCCGGGCAAGACCGGUGCCAGCCGCCGCGGUAAUACCGGCGGCUCGAGUGGUGGCCACUAUUACUGGGCUUAAAGCGUCCGUAGCUUGGUUGUUAAGUCUCUUGGGAAAUCUGUCGGCUUAACCGACAGGCGUUUAAGGGAUACUGGCAAUCUAGGGACCGGGAGAGGUGAGAGGUACUCCAGGGGUAGGAGUGAAAUCCUGUAAUCCUUGGGGGACCACCUGUGGCGUAGGCGUCUCACCAGAACGGCUCCGACAGUGAGGGACGAAAGCUGGGGGGAGCAAACCGGAUUAGAUACCCGGGUAGUCCCAGCCGUAAACGAUGCGCGUUAGGUGUAUCGGUGACCACGAGUCACCGAGGUGCCGAAGGGAAACCGUGAAACGUGCCGCCUGGGAAGUACGGUCGCAAGGCUGAAACUUAAAGGAAUUGGCGGGGGAGCACCACAACAGGUGGAGCCUGCGGUUUAAUCGGACUCAACGCCGGGAACCUCACCGGAUAAGACAGCGGGAUGAUAGCCAGGCUGAAGACUUUGCUUGACUAGCUGAGAGGAGGUGCAUGGCCGUCGUCAGUUCGUACUGUGAAGCAUCCUGUUAAGUCAGGUAACGAGCGAGACCCA
rnacentral:rRNA from 1 species